rnacentral:rRNA from 1 species
CCUACGGGUGGCAGCAGUGAGGAAUAUUGGUCAAUGGGCGGGAGCCUGAACCAGCCAAGCCGCGUGAAGGAAGAAGGCGCUAAGCGUCGUAAACUGCUUUUGUCGGGGAACAAAGGGCGCCACGUGUGGCGUUCUGAGGGUACCCGAAGAAAAAGCAUCGGCUAACUCCGUGCCAGCAGCCGCGGUAAUACGGAGGAUGCGAGCGUUAUCCGGAUUUAUUGGGUUUAAAGGGGGCGUAGGCGGUCCGGAAAGUCAGCGGUAAAAGCCCGGGGCUCAACCCCGGCCAGCGGUUGAAACUGGCGGACUAGAGACGGCGAGAGGCACGCGGAAUGCGCGGUGUAGCGGUGAAAUGCAUAGAUAUCGCGAAGAACUCCGAUUGCGAAGGCAGCGUACCGGCGCCGGACUGACGCUGAGGCACGAAGGCGUGGGUAUCGAACAGGAUUAGAUACCCGGGUAGUC